rnacentral:rRNA from 1 species
AUUGAACGCUGGCGGCAUGCUUUACACAUGCAAGUCGAACGGUAACAGGCCGCAAGGUGCUGACGAGAGGCGAACGGGUGAGUAAUGCAUCGGAACGUGCCCAGUCGUGGGGGAUAACGCAGCGAAAGCUGUGCUAAUACCGCAUACGAUCUGUGGAUGAAAGCGGGGGACCGUAAGGCCUCGCGCGAUUGGAGCGGCCGAUGUCAGAUUAGGUGGUUGGUGGGGUAAAGGCACACCAAGCCGACGAUCUGUAGCUGGUCUGAGAGGACGACCAGCCACACUGGGACUGAGACACGGCCCAGACUCCUACGGGCGGCAGAGGUGGGGAAUUUUGGACAAGGGGCGCAAGCCUGAUCCAGCAAUGCCGCGUGCAGGAAGAAGGCCUUCGGGUUGUAAACUGCUUUUGUACGGAGCGAAAGGGCUCUCUCUAAUACAGGGGGCUCAUGACGGUACCGUAAGAAUAAGCACCGGCUAACUACGUGCCAGCCGCCGCCGUAAGAC